CCAACCCUUUUUAGGGUGGGACGUGUUUGGGACGGGUGCAUCCACGGGAGAAUAGAAGUGGCAGCGAUCCUCCACCUUCUCCUCGGUGCAGGUAAAGAACCCACAUCCCAACUGUGGCCAUGAGGAUCCUUCACAUGCUCCUGGUUGUCCUCUUCCUGAUGCUCCAAGGAGCUGCAGCACAAUUGUUUCCUAGGCUAAACAACCCUUGUUUGAUGCAAAAUGGACUCUGCUUCCGAGGGAUUUGUCGCCGCCCCUAUUACUGGAUUGGAACGUGUAGCAAUGGAUAUUCUUGCUGCAAAAGGGGGUGGAGAAGCUGAAGAUUCCCUGGAUUCACCUUGGAAAUCCUUCCUGCUUCUACUGAAUGGCUCCUGGGAAUCACCCUGAUCCCAUCGCUCCUGGUGGCACCAGUUCCUGCUGCAAUGAAAAGCUGUCACAAUCUUCCCUUGCAAUGAAGCAAACACCACAAAUAUGAACCAGGCAACACUGUGGAAACUAUUUCUUUCCUCUCCUUUAAUAAAAUCAGUUAUGGUGGCA